GCAACAGAUGCGGUCUCUCUCUAGCUCAUUAGAUCGGAAGACGGGAAAAAAAGGGUGAAGUGGACAGGAAGUGAUGGCCAUUCUUGGGGUAGACAUUGUGUAGUGCUCCCAGCAGGGGAAGAAUAACUCCUGUGCAUCACACACACACAGCCGCUCCAGCCCUCUCACACUUCCUUUCACACACACUUCUGUCACAGCCAGACCUUCCCACAGCUCUACACUGGCAGACUGUUCCUGAUAGACCUACCUAUCCAUCCAUCUAUCUAUCUACACCUCCUUUGACUCUUGGGGGGAGUGUAAUGUACAGUGCUCUCUUCAACUUCAAUACCACGACUGAGGUGCUCUUGAGCAAGUCACCGAACCCCCAACUGCUCCCCGGGCGCCGCAGCAUAAAUCAUGAACACUGCUCUGGGUGUGUGUUCACAGUGUGUGUGUGCACUUUGGAUGGGUUAAAUGCAGACCAUGAAUUCUGAGUAUGGGUCACCAUACUUGGCUGUAUGUCACGUCACUAUUAUUAUCAUAAUCACACUCCUCAGGAAAUAAGAGAGGAAAAGGAAGAGUGUGGUAAAGUGGAGCUCACUGUUCAUCAUCUCCAGCAGAGAAAGGGAACAAUCAGCACCUCACACACCCUCAUAUACACCCUCCCUAACCAAUCCACUCUCACAUCCUGCAAAGUCCGGCCCUCUGUAUAAAUACACCUAUUACUGAUUGAUGGUGACACUACCUUACACUGAGCCUCCAGCUCUCUGAUGCUGACAGCGUCUGCUCUACUGCUGCUCCUGCUUGUUCCUGGCAUCAGUCCCGUGCCCAGCAGACUCUGGGAACCUCCUGUUGUGUACCCAUCCCAAGCAACAUGACCCUGUGCCAGGCUCUGGGCUACAACAGCAUGUAGAUGCCCAACUUGCGGGGACAUGAGUCUCCCUCCAGCUGAAGCGGUGCAGCAGAGUGUCACCCACACGCCCGAAUCUUCCUGUGCUCGCUCUUCACUCCUGUGUGCCUUGAGAGUGGUGUCUCGAGCGAGCUGCACAGACUGUGUCCUCCAAAGACCUGCUCCACCUCUUCUGAAAAAAUUGCUUUGUGGUUAAAGUGCGUCUAUCCAUUUAGCUGGAGGAAACGCCAGCGGCUGCUCAACCAAGAAUCACACAAGUGGAAAAGCUAUCAGUUUAGAGCGUAGAGUUUCAGAAAACAUACCUCAGUGUUCAUAAUGAUGUAAAUAAUAGAAGAUCCUUGUCCUAUAUUUUUAAAUCUUAAGAUAUUAAAGUUUUUCAAAUGCUUUUCUGAAACUGUAGUUCACAUGAACAUUUCCUGUCACAAAUGUUGAGGUCACUGUAAUUGAUGUCGAAACCAAAACUUACAGUUGAUAUAUGAAAAUGAAUCUCUGUAAAC